GUGAAUCAUCAAAUUUUUGAACGCAAAUUGCAUUCUCCUCGGAGAGUAUGCCUGUUUGAGGGUCAGCCUAUAAAAAAUCGACAUCGUUGCUGUUUCGCGGUGGCGUUCGUCGGAAAUUGGGUCAUCUUAAAUCCUUUUGGGUUUUAAGCGACUUAAAAUUUUCUUUUUGGGUUCAUGAACGGUUCUAAGAUUUAUUUCUUUACACGGUUAAGGUAUUGAUUUUUAUUUGACUGUACCAUCAUAU
rnacentral:misc_RNA from 1 species